GGGGCUGACCUGGUUUCGACGGGACUAAGUAGCUUCUAAUUGCAUGUCGGACUGAGCAUCUCCGUUACGCGGCUCACCUUGCUUAAACGCAAACAACACAAAUUACCGCCCAGCUUACGCAGUAGCAUAAGUUUUACCCCUCCGCAAGGAGACGGGCUGCUUCACCUAAUGACGCUAGAUAGUUAGGAUUCGAAGUAUAACCCCUAUGUAGAUAUAUUUUACGCUUUGUCUCGCGCGUAGAAUGAAUCCAGAGACUCGUCUUGUGUAGCUUUGCAAGUUGUGUGAAGCAAGAUUAAACUUUAACGACUUUUCUAAACAUGUAGACGUUAGGAGUAGCGUGGUUUCGGACUGGAGUUCGAUUCUCCACAGCUCCACCA
rnacentral:tmRNA from 16 species